GGGUGAGUAACACGUGGGUAACCUGCCUGUAAGACUGGGAUAACUCCGGGAAACCGGAGCUAAUACCGGAUAGUUCCUUGAACCGCAUGGUUCAAGGAUGAAAGACGGUUUCGGCUGUCACUUACAGAUGGACCCGCGGCGCAUUAGCUAGUUGGUGAGGUAACGGCUCACCAAGGCGACGAUGCGUAGCCGACCUGAGAGGGUGAUCGGCCACACUGGGACUGAGACACGGCCCAGACUCCUACGGGAGGCAGCAGUAGGGAAUCUUCCGCAAUGGACGAAAGUCUGACGGAGCAACGCCGCGUGAGUGAUGAAGGUUUUCGGAUCGUAAAGCUCUGUUGUUAGGGAAGAACAAGUGCAAGAGUAACUGCUUGCACCUUGACGGUACCUAACCAGAAAGCCACGGCUAACUACGUGCCAGCAGCCGCGGUAAUACGUAGGUGGCAAGCGUUGUCCGGAAUUAUUGGGCGUAAAGGGCUCGCAGGCGGUUUCUUAAGUCUGAUGUGAAAGCCCCCGGCUCAACCGGGGAGGGUCAUUGGAAACUGGGAAACUUGAGUGCAGAAGAGGAGAGUGGAAUUCCACGUGUAGCGGUGAAAUGCGUAGAGAUGUGGAGGAACACCAGUGGCGAAGGCGACUCUCUGGUCUGUAACUGACGCUGAGGAGCGAAAGCGUGGGGAGCGAACAGGAUUAGAUACCCUGGUAGUCCACGCCGUAAACGAUGAGUGCUAAGUGUUAGGGGGUUUCCGCCCCUUAGUGCUGCAGCUAACGCAUUAAGCACUCCGCCUGGGGAGUACGGUCGCAAGACUGAAACUCAAAGGAAUUGACGGGGGCCCGCACAAGCGGUGAGCAUGUGG
rnacentral:rRNA from 1 species